rnacentral:rRNA from 1 species
UUGGUAGGGUAAUGGCCUACCAAGGCUACGAUGGUUAGCUGGUCUGAGAGGAUGAUCAGCCACACUGGAACUGACACACGGUCCAGACUCCUACGGGAGGCAGCAGUGAGGAAUUUUGCGCAAUGGGGGAAACCCUGACGCAGCAACGCCGCGUGAGUGAUGAAGGCUUUCGGGUCGUAAAGCUCUGUCAAGUGGGAAGAAAAUACAAAUUGAUAAUACCCUUUUGUACUGACGGUACCACUGAAGGAAGCACCGGCUAACUCCGUGCCAGCAGCCGCGGUAAUACGGGGGGUGCAAGCGUUAUUCGGAAUUAUUGGGCGUAAAGCGAGUGUAGGCGGUUUGUUAAGUCAGAUGUGAAAGCCCGGGGCUCAACCCCGGAAGUGCAUUUGAAACUGGCAGACUUGAGUAUGGGAGAGGAAAGUGGAAUUCCUGGUGUAGAGGUGAAAUUCGUAGAUAUCAGGAGGAACACCGGUGGCGAAGGCGACUUUCUGGACCAAUACUGACGCUCAGACUCGAAGGCGUGGGGAGCAAACAGGAUUAGAUACCC